CCUACGGGAGGCAGCAGUGGGGGAUAUUGCACAAUGGGGGGAACCCUGAUGCAGCGACGCCGCGUGGGUGAAGAAGCGCCUCGGCGCGUAAAGCCCUGUCAGCAGGGAAGAAAAUGACGGUACCUGAAGAAGAAGCCCCGGCUAACUACGUGCCAGCAGCCGCGGUUAUACGUAGGGGGCAAGCGUUAUCCGGAUUUACUGGGUGUAAAGGGGGCGCAGUCGGCGAUGCAAGCCAGGAGUGAAAGCCCGGGGCCCAACCCCGGGACUGCUCUUGGAACUGCGUGGCUGGAGUGCAGGAGGGGCAGGCGGAAUUCCUGGUGUAGCGGUGAAAUGCGUAGAUAUCAGGAGGAACAUCGGUGGCGAAGGCGGCCUGCUGGACUGCAACUGACGUUGAGGCCCGAAAGCGUGGGGAGCAAACAGGAUUAGAUACCCGGGUAGUC
rnacentral:rRNA from 1 species